rnacentral:tRNA from 1 species
GUUAUAGUAGUUUAGAUUAAAACUCUGGUCUUGUAAACCAAAAUCGAGAAUGAAAUUCUCCUAGAACA